GUCCCGGUAGGGUAGAGGAUAUCCUGAGAGCCUCCGGAGCUUUCGACCCGGGUUCAAGUCCCGGCCGGGACG
rfam:Methanoplanus petrolearius DSM 11571, complete genome.